rnacentral:rRNA from 1 species
AUUGAACGCUGGCGGCGUGCCUAAUACAUGCAAGUCGAACGAAGCUUUUUUAACUGGUGCUUGCACCGACUUAAACAACUGAGUGGCGAACGGGUGAGUAACACGUGGGUAACCUGCCCCAAAGCGGGGGAUAACAUUUGGAAACAGAUGCUAAUACCGCAUAACCACAGAAACCACAUGGUUUCUGUGUCAAAGAUGGUUUCGGCUGUCACUUUGGGAUGGACCCGCGGCGUAUUAGCUAGUUGGUAAGGUAAUGGCUUACCAAGGCAAUGAUACGUAGCCGAACUGGGAGGUUGAUCGGCCACAUUGGGACUGAGACACGGCCCAAACUCCUACGGGAGGCAGCAGUAGGGAAUCUUCCACAAUGGACGAAAGUCUGAUGGAGCAACGCCGCGUGAGUGAAGAAGGUUUUCGGAUCGUAAAACUCUGUUGUCAGAGAAGAACGUGUGCGAGAGUAACUGUUCGUGCAGUGACGGUAUCUGGCCAGAAAGCCACGGCUAACUACGUGCCAGCCGCCGCCGUAA